rnacentral:rRNA from 1 species
GAUGAACGCUGGCGGCGUGCCUAAUACAUGCAAGUCGAGCGAACGGACGAGAAGCUUGCUUCUCUGAUGUUAGCGGCGGACGGGUGAGUAACACGUGGAUAACCUACCUAUAAGACUGGGAUAACUUCGGGAAACCGUAGCUAAUACCGGAUAAUAUUUUGAACCGCAUGGUUCAAAAGUGAAAGACGGUCUUGCUGUCACUUAUAGAUGGAUCCGCGCUGCAUUAGCUAGUUGGUAAGGUAACGGCUUACCAAGGCAACGAUGCAUAGCCGACCUGAGAGGGUGAUCGGCCACACUAGAACUGGGACACGGUCCAGGCUCCUACGAGAGGCAGCAGUAGGGAAUCUUCGGCAAUAGGCGAAAACCUGACGGAGCAGCGCCGCGUGAGUGAUGAAGGUCUUCGGAUCGUAAAACUCUGUUAUUAGGGAAAAACAUAUGUGUAAGUAACUGUGCACAGCUUGACGGUACCUAAUCAGAAAGCCACGGCUAACUACGUG